UACGUAGGGUCCAAGCGUUGUCCGGAUUUAUUGGGCGUAAAGAGCUCGUAGGCGGCUCGGUAAGUCGGAUGUGAAACCUCCAGGCUCAACCUGGAGUCGCCAUCCGAUACUGCUGUGGCUUGAGUCCGGUAGGGGAGCAUGGAAUUCCUGGUGUAGCGGUGAAAUGCGCAGAUAUCAGGAGGAACACCAGUGGCGAAGGCGGUGCUCUGGGCCGGUACUGACGCUGGGGAGCGAAAGCGUGGGGAGCAAACAGG
rnacentral:rRNA from 1 species